CCUGGCGGCGAGUGGCGAACGGGUGAGUAAUAUAUCGGAACGUACCCUGGAGUGGGGGAUAACGUAGCGAAAGUUACGCUAAUACCGCAUACGAUCUAAGGAUGAAAGUGGGGGCUUCGCAAGAACCUCAUGCUCCUGGAGCGGCCGAUAUCUGAUUAGCUAGUUGGUGGGGUAAAGGCCCACCAAGGCUUCGAUCAGUAGCUGGUCUGAGAGGACGACCAGCCACACUGGAACUGAGACACGGUCCAGACUCCUACGGGAGGCAGCAGUGGGGAAUUUUGGACAAUGGGCGCAAGCCUGAUCCAGCAAUGCCGCGUGAGUGAAGAAGGCCUUCGGGUUGUAAAGCUCUUUUGUCAGGGAAGAAACGGUGAGGGCUAAUAUCCCUUGCUAAUGACGGUACCUGAAGAAUAAGCACCGGCUAACUACGUGCCAGCAGCCGCGGUAAUACGUAGGGUGCAAGCGUUAAUCGGAAUUACUGGGCGUAAAGCGUGCGCAGGCGGUUUUGUAAGUUUGUCGUGAAAGCCCCGGGCUCAACCUGGGAAUUGCGAUGAAGACUGCAAGGCUUGAAUCUGGCAGAGGGGGGUAGAAUUCCACGUGUAGCAGUGAAAUGCGUAGAGAUGUGGAGGAACACCGAUGGCGAAGGCAGCCCCCUGGGUCAAGAUUGACGCUCAUGCACGAAAGCGUGGGGAGCAAACAGGAUUAGAUACCCUGGUAGUCCACGCCCUAAACGAUGUCUACUAGUUGUCGGGUUUUAAUUAACUUGGUAACGCAGCUAACGCGUGAAGUAGACCGCCUGGGGAGUACGGUCGCAAGAUUAAAACUCAAAGGAAUUGAC
rnacentral:rRNA from 1 species